GACGAACGCUGGCGGCGUGCCUAAUACAUGCAAGUCGAACGCAGGGGGGACGGGUGAGUAACACGUGGGUAACCUCCCAUCAGAGGGGAUAACACUUGGAAACAGGUGCUAAACCGAUAUUGAUGGAUGGACCCGCGGUGCAUUAGCUAGUUGGUGAGGUAACGGCUCACCAAGGCCACAAUGCAUAGCCGCCCUGAGAGGGUGAUCAGCCACCCUGGGGCUAAGACACGGCCCAGACUCCUACGUGAGGCAGCAGUGUUGACUAUUGCACAAUGGGCGCAAGCCUGAUGCAGCCAUGCCGCGUGUAUGAAGAAGGCCUUAGGGUUGUAAAGUACUUUCAGCGGGGAGGCGUUACCCGCAGAAGAAGCACCGGCUAACUCCGUGCCAGCAGCCGCGGUAAUAC
rnacentral:rRNA from 1 species